rnacentral:lncRNA from 1 species
UAGAUCAUCAGUAACACUGCUUUCUGCAUCAGAAUUCGCCUAACAGGUGCUGAUGAUCUGACAACCUGGCUAUUUCUAGAUUUUUACUGAAAAAUUAAAUCUCUCCUUUUCUUAAAUUUCAAGAGGUUCUACCACCCCUGACCUGGGAAAAGUCCCUGGAGAAGUGACAUCCCUUCUCCCAGCCUUAUCUCAAACUUCUGGGGGAAAGCUUUAGGAGAACCUGGAACAUUUGUUCUCCUUGAAGUUUAUUGAUUGAUUUUAAAAGAAAAUGGCUGCAGUCUGCCCUCAGCCCUGCCGAUGCCAAGCUCCAAAGCAAAACGGAGAAUAAGCACAGUGGACUUGGCUUGGCUGGCUAUUUAAAAAAAUCUUCCCCAAGCUGGC